rnacentral:lncRNA from 1 species
UCAGAAGCUCACAUCAGAGAUUAGUUACAAUCUUCGCCGUGUUCUUAUUGGGUUUAACCACACUCACUAAAGCACUCAUCAUCAUCUCAUUUCAAUCUAAGCUAUGAAUCAUGAAACACAACAACAUAUACAAAGAUUCCUUCAUACAGAGAACGAGAAUCGUGGGUUGAAGCGCAUACGUACAAGUCUCAGGAAAUGAUCGCCGCCAUGUCAUGUCAUGUCCGGGGGAACACGCCGAGCAUCUUGCCCCUGCCGAGGCACUCGGAGAGCUUCUUUGCGCCGUCCACCUCAGCGGCCAGGAGCCCCUGCAGGAACCCGCACGCGCCGGCGGCCACCAUCUGCUUCCGGCACCGCCGGGACUGCGCCACGGCCAGCAGCAGCGACACGGGGAACCGCUUGUCGGCGCCCCGGACGGCCGGGUCCAGCAGCUGGACCGCGUUCACUAUGCCCAUCUCGUCUUUCUUGAACGCCUUCCGGUGGCUGCUUGCCGCCACCACCAGCGUCGCCAGCGCCCUCGCCGCGGCGUCCCUCUCGGCCACGGCCUUGGCCUCCAGCAUCCAGAUCAGCCUCGGCAUCGCGCCCCCGGCCUCCUUCCUUGCCUUGCUGCUGCUGCUGACGCUGCAUAGCUCCGCCAGCGCCAUGGCGGCCUCUGUGCGGGUGCUGGCCCUGUCGCUGCCCAGCGCGGCCAGGACGUGGCUGACGAAGCCGGCGGACACCGCUAUCUCGGCGAUGUAGCGGAAGGUGGCCAUGUUGCGGAGGAGCCCGAAUGCCGGCGCGAGACCCGGCUGGUCGCCGCGGCAGGACUCCAGGAAGUCCUUGACGCAGCCGAGCGCGCCUUCUUGGAAAGCCUCGACCUUGAACCUCUGCCCCUCGUCGCCAUCGCUGGCCGUCAAGUUCUGGAGGCAGCCAAGCGCGAGCUCCUGCGUCCGCGGCGUGCCGAGUGAGACGAGCUGCACGAUCAGCGGGAGCGCGCCCUCGUCGCGGAACGCGGGGAGCAGGUCCGGGAACGCGGCGAUGUUCCGG